rnacentral:sRNA from 1 species
GUGAAGUAAACAACUAUUUAGUCUCAACUUGCCUAGGUGAAGUGCACUAUUUAGUCUCAACUUGCCUAGGUGAAGUAAACAACUAUUUUAGUCUCAACUUGCCUAGGUGAAGUAAACAACUAUUUAGUCUCAACUUGCCUAGGUGAAGUAAACAACUAUUUAGUCUCAACUUGCCUAGGUGAAGUAAACAACUAUUUAGUCUCCACUUGCCUAGGUGAAGUAAACAACUAUU